UGCAAGUCGAACGGUGAAGGAGAGCUUGCUCUCUGGAUCAGUGGCGAACGGGUGAGUAACACGUGAGCAAUCUGCCCCUGACUCUGGGAUAACAGUUGGAAACAGCUGCUAAUACCGGAUACGAGCUUCGAAGGCAUCUUCAGAAGCUGGAAAGAACUUCGGUCAGGGAUGAGCUCGCGGCCUAUCAGCUAGUUGGUGAGGUAAUGGCUCACCAAGGCGUCGACGGGUAGCCGGCCUGAGAGGGUGACCGGCCACACUGGGACUGAGACACGGCCCAGACUCCUACGGGAGGCAGCAGUGGGGAAUAUUGCACAAUGGGCGCAAGCCUGAUGCAGCAACGCCGCGUGAGGGACGACGGCCUUCGGGUUGUAAACCUCUUUUAGCAGGGAAGAAGCGAAAGUGACGGUACCUGCAGAAAAAGCGCCGGCUAACUACGUGCCAGCAGCCGCGGUAAUACGUAGGGCGCAAGCGUUAUCCGGAAUUAUUGGGCGUAAAGAGCUCGUAGGCGGUUUGUCGCGUCUGCUGUGAAAACUGGAGGCUCAACCUCCAGCCUGCAGUGGGUACGGGCAGACUAGAGUGCGGUAGGGGAGAUUGGAAUUCCUGGUGUAGCGGUGGAAUGCGCAGAUAUCAGGAGGAACACCGAUGGCGAAGGCAGAUCUCUGGGCCGUAACUGACGCUGAGGAGCGAAAGGGUGGGGAGCAAACAGGCUUAGAUACCCUGGUAGUCCACCCCGUAAACGUUGGGAACUAGUUGUGGGGUCCAUUCCACGGAUUCCGUGACGCAGCUAACGCAUUAAGUUCCCCGCCUGGGGAGUACGGCCGCAAGGCUAAAACUCAAAGGAAUUGACGGGGACCCGCACAAGCGGCG
rnacentral:rRNA from 1 species